rnacentral:lncRNA from 1 species
UUUUUAGAGUCAAGUUAAUAACUUGUUCACACAAAAGUUAUCAAAAUUUUAUAGCGUAUAUCAAUAUCUGAAGCAUACAUAUGAAAUCAAACUAACAUAAGUAUUUAGAAAUAACCACUAAAAUUCAAAGUUGCUUGUAUGAAAAUGUAACAUAGAGAUAAUUAAUUCACUUAAUUGCUACGGUGUACCCACAUCUCAUCUCUAAUAUGAUUUCUCUUCAUUGUCAUUUCAGCUGCACCUUCAUUAGAUAACCUUGUUAAGUUGUCGACAUUGGAACUUGUUCCUUCUAU